rnacentral:rRNA from 1 species
AUUGAACGCUGGCGACAUGCCUUACACAUGCAAGUCGAACGGCAGCACGGGUGCUUGCACCUGGUGGCGAGUGGCGAACGGGUGAGUAAUACAUCGGAACAUGUCCUGUAGUGGGGGAUAGCCCGGCGAAAGCCGGAUUAAUACCGCAUACGAUCUACGGAUGAAAGCGGGGGACCUUCGGGCCUCGCGCUAUAGGGUUGGCCGAUGGCUGAUUAGCUAGUUGGUGGGGUAAAGGCCUACCAAGGCGACGAUCAGUAGCUGGUCUGAGAGGACGACCAGUCACACUGGGACUGAGACACGGCCAAGACUCCUACGGGAGGCAGCAGUGGGGAAUUUUGGACAAUGGGCGAAAGCCUGAUCCAGCAAUGCCGCGUGUGUGAAGAAGGCCUUCGGGUUGUAAAGCACUUUUGUCCGGAAAGAAAUCCUUGGCCCUAAUACGGUCGGGGGAUGACGGUACCGGAAGAAUAAGCACCGGCUAACUACGUG